rnacentral:rRNA from 1 species
GACGAACGCUGGCGGCGUGCUUAACACAUGCAAGUCGAACGGAAAGGCCCUGCUUUUGUGGGGUGCUCGAGUGGCGAACGGGUGAGUAACACGUGAGUAACCUGCCCUUGACUUUGGGAUAACUUCAGGAAACUGGGGCUAAUACCGGAUAGGAGCUCCUGCUGCAUGGUGGGGGUUGGAAAGUUUCGGCGGUUGGGAUGGACUCGCGGCUUAUCAGCUUGUUGGUGGGGUAGGGGCUUACCAAGGCUUUGACGGGUAGCCGGCCUGAGAGGGUGACCGGCCACAUUGGUACUGAGAUACGGACCAGACUCCUACGGGAGGCAGCAGUGGGGAAUAUUGCACAAUGGGCGGAAGCCUGAUGCAGCAACGCCGCGUGCGGGAUGACGGCCUUCGGGUUGUAAACCGCUUUCGCCUGUGACGAAGCGUGAGUGACGGUAAUGGGUAAAGAAGCACCGGCUAACUACGUG